UACGAAGGGGGCUAGCGUUGCUCGGAAUCACUGGGCGUAAAGGGCGCGUAGGCGGAUCUUUUAAGUCAGAGGUGAAAUCCUGGAGCUCAACUCCAGAACUGCCUUUGAUACUGAGAGUCUUGAGUUCGGGAGAGGUGAGUGGAACUGCGAGUGUAGAGGUGAAAUUCGUAGAUAUUCGCAAGAACACCAGUGGCGAAGGCGGCUCACUGGCCCGAUACUGACGCUGAAGCACGAAAGCGUGGGGAGCAAACAG
rnacentral:rRNA from 1 species